CUGCUGCCUUCCGUAGGAGUCUGGGCCGUAUCUCAGUCCCAAUGUGGCCGUUCAUCCUCUCAGACCGGCUACUGAUCGCAGCCUUGGUGGGCCGUUACCCCACCAACUAGCUAAUCAGACAUGAGCCCAUCCUUCAGCGAUAAAUCUUUGAUAUCCAGGAGAUGCCUCCCGGAUAUGUUAUGCGGUAUUAGCAGUCGUUUCCAACUGUUGUCCCCCUCUGAAGGGCAGGUUG
rnacentral:rRNA from 1 species